UGGCGGACGGGCGAGUAACGCGUGGGUAACCUGCCUUGUACUGGGGGACAACAGUUAGAAAUGACUGCUAAUACCGCAUAAGCGCACAGUAUCGCAUGAUACGGUGUGAAAAACUCCGGUGGUACAAGAUGGACCCGCGUCUGAUUAGCUAGUUGGUAAGGUAACGGCUUACCAAGGCGACGAUCAGUAGCCGACCUGAGAGGGUGACCGGCCACAUUGGGACUGAGACACGGCCCAA
rnacentral:rRNA from 1 species